UCUCCGUUGGUGAACCAGCGGAGGGAUCAUUACCGAGUUUACAACUCCCAAACCCAAUGUGAACGUUACCAAACUGUUGCCUCGGCGGGAUCUUCUGCCCCGGGUGCGUCGCAGCCCCGGACCAAGGCGCCCGCCGGAGGAAUCAACCAAAACUCUUAUUGUAUACCCCCUCGCGGGUUUUUUUAUAAUCUGAGCCUUCUCGGCGCCUCUCGUAGGCGUUUCGAAAAUGAAUCAAAACUUUCAACAACGGAUCUCUUGGUUCUGGCAUCGAUGAAGAACGCAGCGAAAUGCGAUAAGUAAUGUGAAUUGCAGAAUUCAGUGAAUCAUCGAAUCUUUGAACGCACAUUGCGCCCGCCAGUAUUCUGGCGGGCAUGCCUGUCCGAGCGUCAUUUCAACCCUCGAACCCCUCCGGGGGGUCGGCGUUGGGGAUCGGCCUUCCUUCACGGGGGCCGUCUCCGAAAUACAGUGGCGGUCUCGCCGCAGCCUCUCCUGCGCAGUAGUUUGCACACUCGCAUCGGGAGCGCGGCGCGUCCACAGCCGUUAAACACCCAACUUCUGAAAUGUUGACCUCGGAUCAGGUAGGAAUACCCGCUGAACCUAA
rnacentral:rRNA from 1 species